rnacentral:rRNA from 1 species
GACGUAGGGGACGAGCGUUGUCCGGAUUCAUUGGGCGUAAAGCGCGCGUAGGCUGCCACGCAAGUCGGGUGUGAAAUCCCGGAGCUCAACUCCGGAACUGCACUCGAAACUGCGCGGCUUGAGGUAGGUAGGGGAGAUCGGAAUUCCUGGUGUAGCGGUGGAAUGCGCAGAUAUCAGGAGGAACACCGGUGGCGAAGGCGGAUCUCUGGGCCUUACCUGACGCUGAGACGCGAAAGCUAGGGGAGCGAACAGG